rnacentral:rRNA from 1 species
CCGGUACAAGCGAGGUACCAGUAUGGUAGGAAAAUCCGCCAUGCAAUGGGAAGACGUGAUGUGGAGUGAAAUAUAGUAACGAAGCCCGUGAGCCAUGCGUCAAGAAAAGCCGCUAUUGUUUAUAUUGUACCCGUACCGUAAACCGACACAGGUGGAUGAGGAGAGAAUCCUAAGGCCGGCGGAAGAAGUAUUGCCAAGGAACUCGGCAAAAUGGCCCCGUAACUUAGGGAGAAGGGGUGCCUGCGAGAGCAGGCCGCAGAGAAUAGGCUCAAGCAACUGUUUAGCAAAAACACAGGUCUAUGCGAAACCGAAAGGUGAGGUAUAUGGGCUGACGCCUGCCCGGUGCUGGAAGGUUAAGAGGAGAGGUCAGACGCAAGUCGAAGCUUUGAAUUUAAGCCCCAGUAAACGGCGGCCGUAACUAUAACGGUCCUAAGGUAGCGAAAUUCCUUGUCGGGUAAGUUCCGACCCGCACGAAAGGCGUAAUGAUUUGAGCGCUGUCUCGGCAAUACAUCCGGUGAAAUUGAAGUGCCAGUGAAGAUGCUGGCUACCCGCGCCAGGACGGAAAGACCCCAUGGAGCUUUACUCCAGUUUGGCACUGGGGUCCGGUGUUGCAUGUACAGGAUAGGUGGGAGGCUGAGAAACGGUAACGUCAGUUGCCGCGGAGCCGCUGUUGGGAUACCACCCUUGUGAUAUUGGGCUUCUAACCAGCCGCCGUGAUCCGGCGGUGGGACAAUGCCAGGCGGGGAGUUUGACUGGGGCGGUCGCCUCCGAAAGGGUAUCGGAGGCGCCCAAAGGUUCCCUCAGAAUGGACGGAAACCAUUCGAAGAGUGCAAAGGCAGAAGGGAGCUUGACUGCGACACCGACGGGUGGAGCAGGUACGAAAGUAGGGCUUAGUGAUCCGGUGGUAUUAAGUGGGAAUGCCAUCGCUCAACGGAUAAAAGCUACCCUGGGGAUAACAGGCUUAUCACUCCCAAGAGUUCACAUCGACGGAGUGGUUUGGCACCUCGAUGUCGGCUCAUCGCAUCCUGGGGCUGUAGUAGGUCCCAAGGGUUGGGCUGUUCGCCCAUUAAAGCGGUACGCGAGCUGGGUUCAGAACGUCGUGAGACAGUUCGGUCCCUAUCCGGCGUGGGCGCAGGAUAUCUGAGAGGAGCUGUCCUUAGUACGAGAGGACCGGGAUGGACGGACCGCUGGUGGACCGGUUGGCUUGCCAAAGCCAUGGCCGGGUAGCCAAGUCCGGAAGGGAUAAACGCUGAAGGCAUCUAAGCGUGAAGCCCCCCUCAAGAUGAGAUAUCCCAUUCUUAGUGAAGUAAACCCCCUUGAAGACGACGAGGUAGAUAGGGCAGAGGUGGAAGUGUGGUAACACAUGGAGCUGACUGUUACUAAUCGGGUGAGGGCUUGACCA